rnacentral:rRNA from 1 species
AGUGAACGCUGGCGGUAGGCCUAACACAUGCAAGUCGAACGGCAGCACAGUAAGAGCUUGCUCUUACGGGUGGCGAGUGGCGGACGGGUGAGGAAUACAUCGGAAUCUACUUUUUCGUGGGGGAUAACGUAGGGAAACUUACGCUAAUACCGCAUACGACCUACGGGUGAAAGCAGGGGAUCUUCGGACCUUGCGCGAUUGAAUGAGCCGAUGUCGGAUUAGCUAGUUGGCGGGGUAAAGGCCCACCAAGUCGACGAUCCGUAGCUUGUCUGAGAGGAUGAUCAGCCACACUGGAACUGAGACACGGUCCAGACUCCUACGGGAGGCAGCAGUGGGGAAUAUUGGACAAUGGGCGCAAGCCUGAUCCAGCCAUACCGCGGGGGUGAAGAAGGCCUUCGGGUUGUAAAGCCGUUUUGUUGGGAAAGAAAAGCAGCAGGUUAAUACCCCGCUGUUCUGACGGUACCCAAAGAAGAAGCACAGGCUAACUGCGU